AUUGAAUGCUGGCGGCAGGCCUAACACAUGCAAGUCGAACGGUAGCACAGAGGAGCUUGCUCCUUGGGUGACGAGUGGCGGACGGGUGAGUAAUGUCUGGGAAACUGCCCGAUGGAGGGGGAUAACUACUGGAAACGGUAGCUAAUACCGCAUAACGUCUUCGGACCAAAGUGGGGGACCUUCGGGCCUCACACCAUCGGAUGUGCCCAGAUGGGAUUAGCUAGUAGGUGGGGUAAUGGCUCACCUAGGCGACGAUCCCUAGCUGGUCUGAGAGGAUGACCAGCCACACUGGAACUGAGACGCGGUCCAGACUCCUACGGGAGGCAGCAGUGGGGAAUAUUGCACAAUGGGCGCAAGCCUGAUGCAGCCAUGCCGCGUGUAUGAAGAAGGCCUUCGGGUUGUAAAGUACUUUCAGCGGGGAGGAAGGCGUUAAGGUUAAUAACCUUGGCGAUUGACGUUACCCGCAGAAGAAGCACCGGCUAACUCCGUGCCAGCCGCCGCUGUAA
rnacentral:rRNA from 1 species